ACAGGUGGCCAUCUCAUCACAGAAUAUGAGCAAGAUUAGUCAAGUGUAUCCUAGAAAACAGCUUCCCUCAUGGGAAAAAAGUGAGAGAAAGAGAAUUGGUGACUAUUCAACUAUACAUCGAAACACAAUAUUGCAAGCUGGACUUAGGGAGAAUUUGACGAAAAGAUAGUCAGAAAUGAUCUGUCUGAAGUUUUGAGAUACUGUGGGUACUCAGUACUUCCCAUUGGAAUUCACUAUGUCCUCCAGCUGGCCUGUUCAGACUAUGCCAGUUUUUAGGAGAAAGCUGUCCUUCAGCUCUUUGGGCUUUAUUCAGUCAUUGGCUCUGUUUCAACAAUACAUCAAAUGGAUUGUGCAGUGUGAGCACGGAAGAUGAAUUUAUUAAGAUUGUGCACUACAUUGUUCAUUCUGCAUAUCCCCAUUUGUUCCUUGUCUUUGGAACAUAGUAGUGCCUUAGAGGACUCUGCUAGUUAACAAUAGGUCAAACUGUGAAUUUGAGAACUUUUGCAAACAAAAAAAAGGGGAAAGUAAAAAAAAAAUCCUAAAAUUAAGGGACAUUGCAGACAAUCUAGCAACAUGACUAUUUGUGACACAUGGCAAUAGUCUGAGGAAAACUGAAGCACCUACAAAGCUGGAAAAUGUGUUGCAGCCAGCCAGCACUGAGCUGCCCUGGAUGGCAGAAGAAGACACAAAUGGAUUAGUUUACAGUCAGGUCUGGGAAGCAGGGCACAAAAACAGAGCUGUAGAGCCUUGGGAAUUGUGCCCAACUCUGCCACAGUCUUACUGGGCAACCUGAAUAGCUAUUUUGUAAUUUUUAUUUGUUUCCAACACUCAGUUUUGACUAUUCCUGUGCUGAUGUUAUAAGAUGGAUGUCGAUGGGAAAUCAGAGUUUGGACUGUAAAUCUC